rnacentral:rRNA from 1 species
UUACCUUCGGGUAUUGAGGAUGGCGGACGGGUGAGUAACGCGUAAGGAACUUGCCUCUUGGUCUGGGACAACUGUUGGAAACGACAGCUAAUACCGGAUAUUAUGAGAUUCUCGCAUGGGAAACUUAUGAAAGCUAUAUGCGCCAAGAGAGAGCCUUGCGUUCCAUUAGCUAGUUGGUGGGGUAACGGCCCACCAAGGCGACGAUGGAUAGCCGGCCUGAGAGGGUGAACGGCCACAAGGGGACUGAGACACGGCCCUUACUCCUACGGGAGGCAGCAGUGGGGAAUAUUGGACAAUGGGCCACAAGCCUGAUCCAGCAAUUCUGUGUGCACGAUGAAGGUCUUCGGAUUGUAAAGUGCUUUCAGUUGGGAAGAAGAAAGUGACGGUACCAACAGAAGAAGCGACGGCUAAAUACGUGCCAGCAGCCGCGGUAAUACGUAUGUCGCAAGCGUUAUCCGGAUUUAUUGGGCGUAAAGCGCGUCUAGGCGGAAAAAUAAGUCUGAUGUUAAAAUGCGGGGCUCAACUCCGUAUUGCGUUGGAAACUGUUUUUCUAGAGUACUGGAGAGGUGGGCGGAACUACAAGUGUAGAGGUGAAAUUCGUAGAUAUUUGUAGGAAUGCCGAUGGAGAAGUCAGCUCACUGGACAGAUACUGACGCUA